rnacentral:rRNA from 1 species
GACGAACGCUGGCGGCGUGCCUAAUACAUGCAAGUUGAGCGCUGAAGGUUGGUACUUGUACCAACUGGAUGAGCAGCGAACGGGUGAGUAACGCGUGGGGAAUCUGCCUUUGAGCGGGGGACAACAUUUGGAAACGAAUGCUAAUACCGCAUAAAAACUUUAAACACAAGUUUUAAGUUUGAAAGAUGCAAUUGCAUCACUCAAAGAUGAUCCCGCGUUGUAUUAGCUAGUUGGUGAGGUAAAGGCUCACCAAGGCGAUGAUACAUAGCCGACCUGAGAGGGUGAUCGGCCACAUUGGGACUGAGACACGGCCCAAACUCCUACGGGAGGCAGCAGUAGGGAAUCUUCGGCAAUGGACGAAAGUCUGACCGAGCAACGCCGCGUGAGUGAAGAAGGGUUUCGGAUCGUAAAACUCUGUUGGUAGAGAAGAACGUUGGUGAGAGUGGAAAGCUCAUCGAGUGACGGUAACUACCCAGAAAGGGACGGCUAACUACGUG